CGCUCCUUGAUAGAUUGUGUAUAAGGAGUCGGACCUGCCCGGUGAUUAUUUUAACGGCCGCGGUACCCUGACCGUGCAAAGGUAGCAUAAUCAUUUGUCUUAUAAUUGAAGACUGGAAUGAAUGGUUUGACAAGAAUACUUCUGUCUCUUUAUAAUUUUAUAGAACUUAAUUUUUAGGUGAAGAAGCCUAAGUAAAAUUGAAAGACAAGAAGACCCUAUCGAGCUUUAAGUAAAUUAGUAACCUAAGAAUAAUAUGAGAUAGAGAUAUAAGUUACUAAAAAAUUUUGGUUGGGGCGACAAAGGAACAUAAAAAGCUUCCUUUAUUUAGUUGUAUAUUUUCAAAUCUGGAUCCAAAAUUUUGUUGAUUAGAGAAAAUAGUUACCGUAGGGAUAACAGCAUAAUCUUUUUUGAGAGCUCAUAUUGAAAAAAAGGUUUGUGACCUCGAUGUUGGAUCAGAAUACCCUAAAGAUGCAGAAGUCUUUAAUGGUUGGUCUGUUCGACCAUUAAAAUUCUA
rnacentral:rRNA from 1 species